AUUGAACGCUGGCGGCAGGCCUAACACAUGCAAGUCGAACGAGCGGCGGACGGGUGAGUAAUGUCUGGUAAACUGCCUGUUGGAGGGGGAUAACUACUGGAAACGGUAGCUAAUCCCGCAUACCAUCAGAUGUGCCCAGAUGGGAUUAGCUAGUGGGUGGGGUAACGGCUCACCUAGGCGACGAUCCCUAGCUGGUCUGAGAGGAUGACCAGCCACACUGGAACUGAGACACGGCCCAGACUCCUACGGGAGGCAGCAGUGGGGAAUAUUGCACAAUGGGCGCAAGCCUGAUGGAGCCAUGCCGCGUGGGUGAAGAAGGUCUUCGGGUUGUAAAGCACUGUCAGCGGGGAGGCGGUACCCGAAGAAGAAGCACCGGCUAACUCCGUGCCAGCAGCCGCGGUAAUAC
rnacentral:rRNA from 1 species